AUUUUUGUGCAGUGACAAGAUCGUAGCCUAUAAGGUUUAACCGAGGCAUGAUUAUUGCUGGUUGAAAACUUAACCCAAUGCCUCUUUUAAGAGACUAUUUGGGGGCAAUCUGCGGUCCAGCGGGCUAAGCCUCAGUGCCUGUGAUUG
ensembl:snRNA U4 U4 spliceosomal RNA